rnacentral:lncRNA from 1 species
GGCAGGAAAGGGAUAAAAGGGCUGUUUGGGGUGGGUGAAGGAGGUUUGGUGGGUGAGAGGUGUGUGGGUAUGUGUAAUCUGUGGUGGGACUAAGCUAUUCCUAGAAACCCUCAAGCAGAAGAGCUGAUGGCUUUUUCCAAGAAAUAGGCUGGGAGAAGUCCUUUUGGGUCACAGAUGAAAAUCCUGGUGGCCUUCCUUCUCAGCCCUGGUGCAGAGUCCCAGCCCUUAUUCCGAAACACAAGGCUUGUGAGGUCAAAAGAAGCCCCACACCAAAUAAACAUGCCGUCUUUGCUGCACCGGAUUAGCAUAAAAUGAGAAGGGCUAAGUGCACUUAUCGGGGUGGGAGCCAGCAGAGCAGAGCUGAAUUUACAAGCACUUGUUUCCCACAGAUUCCUGGGCUGUCCAGCCAGGC